CCAGACUCCUACGGGAGGCAGCAGUGGGGAAUAUUGCACAAUGGGCGCAAGCCUGAUGCAGCCAUGCCGCGUGUAUGAAGAAGGCCUUCGGGUUGUAAAGUACUUUCAGUCGGGAGGAAGGUGUCAAGGUUAAUAACCUUGGCAAUUGACAUUACCGACAGAAGAAGCACCGGCUAACUCCGUGCCAGCAGCCGCGGUAAUACGGAGGGUGCAAGCGUUAAUCGGAAUUACUGGGCGUAAAGCGCACGCAGGCGGUCUGUCAAGUCGGAUGUGAAAUCCCCGGGCUCAACCUGGGAACUGCAUUCGAAACUGGCAGGCUGGAGUCUUGUAGAGGGGGGUAGAAUUCCAGGUGUAGCGGUGAAAUGCGUAGAGAUCUGGAGGAAUACCGGUGGCGAAGGCGGCCCCCUGGACAAAGACUGACGCUCAGGUGCGAAAGCGUGGGGAGCAAACAGGAUUAGAUACCCUAGUAGG
rnacentral:rRNA from 1 species